UUACUGUCUUGCAUUUUGGUUCCAAGGUUCAGAUGCAGGCCUUUGAUUCCCAUGGAAGCCAUUUUGUCACCCUGGAACCUUUAAGUACAAGCAUAUUUAGUGACAACAAAUCACUUGGGUGUGGAGCCAGAAGCAACACUGUUCAUCCUUUUCUGCAUUCUUAGCAAGGUAUGCUCAGGAAAGAAUAUAUAUCAGGAAACCCACCACUGCUCAAAGAGGGUAUGGUAUGUGAUAGGGAUGCAGCAUUAAUGACAUGUGGAAGAGUGUUUUUUUUUUUUUUUUUUUUUUUUUUUUUUAAACCUGCCAAUAGCUACAGCUUCUGGUGCUGUCACUUAGGGAAGUUAGCUGGGCAGAAUUAGCAAUGAAGCCCAAGGAAACAAAAGAAGGCAGGUGGGAGCUAAAGUUUGGGCUCUGGGAGUGGGGGUGGUGGAGGAAAGCAGGCCCCGGGGGGGGGGGGAGGUAAUUGCAGGCUGCGUGCUUCUGUGUAGUUUGCUUGUAGUCCCAUUACUACAGCUUUUUUAAGAGGUUCUGGGUUAAAUAGUGACCAACCCUUACCUUAUAAAGCCUCAUUUAAACCUAAUACUCAAAGGUGCUUGGCUAUGUGACGUGAGUUGGCUUGAAGAGGGGACCUUUCUUCUGUGGUCUGAGUGAAUUUAAAAGAACUGCUGGAGCAAAUGAGAGGACGUGGGGCUCGGGAUCCCAGCUCAGUGCAGCUGGCUGGGAAGGAGGCUGAGAUCUACCUGGGUGCUUGCUGGUGCGAGCAGAAGCAGGUUUUUGGAAGCACUCUGGUAUCAUGGAGCUCCAUAAGAUUGUUCCAAACAAAGAACAAAUACAGCCAGUUGUCAGUCUGAGUUUGGUACUGAUGCUUUACAUCUCUGAAGACAACACUGCCUCCUGCACUGCUCUUCAGAUAUUUUAGAAGUGUGAUGAUGGAAGUUUAUUUCAAUAGAUGGAAAUGUUUUUUUUGUCAGGUGACUGCUGUGUUCCCAAGUAUGCCCCAAAAUAACAGACACUGCAUCUAAAUUCACUUCACCAUAGUGACGCAGGUGUGUUAAGAGCUGUUGGUAUGGAAUAUCUUUAUUUUAUCACAAAUCACUAACAUGGAGUAAUUUGGGCAUUUUUUCACUUGAUGAAUUCUACGGAUGAACUGAAAUAGGCAAAAACUCGCUUCUUUGAUUUACACCAGUUCUCCAAAUCUUUAUUUCAGUAAAACCUUGGCUUGUUCUUCUGGCUCUACCUUCUACAUAGUUAUCUACUGACCAUUUUUGAAGGAAUUGUAUUUUCAUGGUACUUCAGAAUUGGGUAUGUAUUUUAGGUGGACUGGCUAUUUCAAUUUAAAUCGAAGCAGACCUUUUGCUUCAGUUUAGGUGCUGUGUUGCAGUUUAGCUUUGUCUGCUUCUUGUAAUGUUUAAGAUAACAGUUCUGGUACAUACAAGCUUGGAUAAAUAUUAUCAGCUACAGUGUAGGUGAUGGUGGCUAAUAGAAGCAGAAAUUCAGGAUGAAUGUUACUGGGCUUUUGUUCUAGAUGUUUUUCUCUAUUGUGAUGAAUUAUAACUUCAUGUGUAUAUGUAUAUCUGGACAUACAUAUUUUGACAUGAAUAAAUCUGCACUGUAAAAUGUGAAGGGAAGCAAACUUUGAACACAGAGCAAAGGCUAUUCAUUAAAUAAUGCAAGUGCCCUGUGAACUCUAUCAUGGGACUAAUAGCUCAUCCAAUACCAGUUCAAUGGAGGGAGAAUAUUUAUACAGGAUUUUGUUUUAUUUUAGUAUUUCAUCAACCUUUAUAGCUGUGACCAGCUGCUAAAUGAAAAAGUGCUUGUUGGAAUGGACUUAGGCUUUUAGAUUAGAUGUGGACUAUCAGUUAGACUUUGCCUAGCCAAAUUUCUAAAGAUGCUUUUUUAAAUGCUUCUAGUGACCAUUUAAAUACUGCUUUAAAUCUGACCUGUAGCUGGUACAUGACAAUAAGCAAACAGGUUUGGGUUUUGGUAAUGAAUUAUAUGUAUUGAAUGGGUAGCCAUGUGGAACAGCUCUGAAUUAUUAAAUCUCCAUUUUGUACUGGGAUUCUUUAUCAUGUGCUGCACACAAAUGUUUUCAACUGAAAUUAAAUCUCAAAAAUAAAAGAUGAUGGUCCAUAAUAUUUCUCCUA